rnacentral:rRNA from 1 species
UACGAAGGGGGCUAGCGUUGCUCGGGAUCACUGGGCGUAAAGCGCACGUAGGCGGAUUGCUAAGUCAGGGGUGAAAUCCUGGAGCUCAACUCCAGAACUGCCUUUGAUACUGGCGAUCUUGAGUCCGGGAGAGGUGAGUGGAACUGCGAGUGUAGAGGUGAAAUUCGUAGAUAUUCGCAAGAACACCAGUGGCGAAGGCGGCUCACUGGCCCGGUACUGACGCUGAGGUGCGAAAGCGUGGGGAGCAAACAGG